rnacentral:rRNA from 1 species
UAGGGAAUCUUCGGCAAUGGACGAAAGUCUGACCGAGCAACGCCGCGUGAGUGAAGAAGGCUUUCGGAUCGUAAAACUCUGUUGUUAGAGAAGAACAAGUACGUUAUAAACUGAACUUCCCCUGACGGUAUCUACCCAGAAAGCCACGGCUAACUCCGUGCCAGCAGCCGCGGUAAUACGUAGGUGGCAAGCGUUGUUCGGAUUUAUUGGGCGUAAAGCGAGCGCAGGCGGUUUCUUAAGGCUGAUGUGAAAGCCCCCGGCUCAACCGGGGAGGUGCAUUGGAAACUGGGAGACUUGAGUGCAGAAGAGGAGGGUGGAAUUCCAUGUGUAGCGGUGAAAUGCGUAGAUAUAUGGAGGAACACCAGUGGCGAAGGCGGCUCGCUGGACUGAAACUGACGCUGAGGCUCGAAAGCGUGGGGAGCAAACAGG